CACGUAGGGGGCGAGCGUUGUCCGGAUUUAUUGGGCGUAAAGAGCUCGUAGGCGGUUUCGUAAGUCGGAUGUGAAAACUCCAGGCUCAACUUGGAGACGCCAUUCGAUACUGCGAUGACUUGAGUCCGGUAGGGGAGUGUGGAAUUCCUGGUGUAGCGGUGAAAUGCGCAGAUAUCAGGAGGAACACCGAUGGCGAAGGCAGGUCUCUGGGCUGAAACUGACGCUCAUGCACGAAAGCGUGGGGAGCAAACAGG
rnacentral:rRNA from 1 species